ACCUGAGUGGCUCAGUCAGUUAGGCACCUGACUUUGGCUCAGGUCAAGAUCUCGUGGUCUGUGAGUUCAAGUCCCACAUCAGGCU
rnacentral:tRNA from 1 species